rnacentral:tRNA from 1 species
GGAGGGAUGGCAGAGCGGCCGAAUGCACCGGUCUGAAAAACCGGAGGGCAUGCCUAGACAGCAGCUCCGGGGGUUCGAAUCCCCCUCCCUCCG